rnacentral:rRNA from 1 species
UACGUAGGGUGCAAGCGUUGUCCGGAAUUAUUGGGCGUAAAGAGCUCGUAGGCGGUCUGUCGCGUCGGAUGUGAAAACCCAGGGCUCAACCCUGGGCCUGCAUUCGAUACGGGCAGACUAGAGUUCGGUAGGGGAGACUGGAAUUCCUGGUGUAGCGGUGAAAUGCGCAGAUAUCAGGAGGAACACCGGUGGCGAAGGCGGGUCUCUGGGCCGAAACUGACGCUAGGAGGCAAGCGAAUGGGCACUA